GACGAACGCUGGCGGCGUGCUUAACACAUGCAAGUCGAACGGAAAGGCCCUGCACUUGUGGGGUGCUCGAGUGGCGAACGGGUGAGUAACACGCGAGUAACCUGCCCUUGACUUUGGGAUAACUUCAGGAAACUGGGGCUAAUACCGGGUAGGAGCACCUGCUGCAUGGGGGGGGUUGGAGAGAUUCGGCGGUUGGGGAUGGACUCGCGGUUUAUCAGGUUGUUGGCGGGGUAGUGGCGUACCAAGGCUUUGAUACGUAGCCGACUUGAGAGGGUGACCGGCCACCUUGGGACGGAGGCACGGCCCAAACUCCUAAUGGGGGCAGCAGUAGGGCAUCGGCGGCAAUGGACGAAAGUCUGACCGAGCAGCGCCGCGUGAGUGAAGAGGGUUUUCGGAUCGUAAAACUCUGUUGGUGGAGAAGAACGGUGGUGAGAGUGGAAAGAUCAUCAAGUGACGGUAACGACCCAGAAAGGGACGGCUAACUACGUG
rnacentral:rRNA from 1 species